UACGGGGGGAGCAAGCGUUGUUCGGAUUUAUUGGGCGUAAAGCGCGUGUAGGCGGGACAAUAAGUCAGAGGUGAAAUCUUUAGGCUUAACCUAAAAACUGCCUCUGAUACUGUUGUUCUUGAGUGCGGAAGAGGGAAGUGGAAUUCCAGGUGUAGCGGUGAAAUGCGUAGAUAUCUGGAAGAACACCAGUAGCGAAGGCGGCUUCCUGGUCCGCAACUGACGCUGAGACGCGAAAGCGUGGGGAGCAAACAGG
rnacentral:rRNA from 1 species